rnacentral:rRNA from 1 species
UGGGGAAUAUUGCACAAUGGGCGCAAGCCUGAUGCAGCCAUGCCGCGUGUAUGAAGAAGGCCUUCGGGUUGUAAAGUACUUUCAGCGGGGAGGAAGGGAGUAAAGUUAAUACCUUUGCUCAUUGACGUUACCCGCAGAAGAAGCACCGGCUAACUCCGUGCCAGCAGCCGCGGUAAUACGGAGGGUGCAAGCGUUAAUCGGAAUUACUGGGCGUAAAGCGCACGCAGGCGGUUUGUUAAGUCAGAUGUGAGAUCCCCGGGCUCAACCUGGGAACUGCAUCUGAUACUGGCAAGCUUGAGUCUCGUAGAGGGGGCUAGAAUUCCAGGUGUAGCGGUGAAAUGCGUAGAGAUCUGGAGGAAUACGUGCAGCGCCCCUGACGAGACUGACGCUCAGGUGCGAAAGCGUGGGGGCAGCAAACAGGAUUAGAUACCC